CACGUAGGAGGCGAGCGUUGUCCGGAAUCAUUGGGCGUAAAGAGCGCGCAGGCGGCUUGGCAAGUCGGGUGUGAAAUCCCGGGGCUCAACCCCGUGACUGCAUUCGAUACUGCGGUGCUUGAGGACUGGAGAGGAGACUGGAAUUCAUGGUGUAGCAGUGAAAUGCGUAGAGAUCAUGAGGAAGACCAGUGGCGAAGGCGGGUCUCUGGACAGUUCCUGACACUGAGACACGAAGGCCAGGGGAGCAAACGGG
rnacentral:rRNA from 1 species